UUGACUUAUUUAAUAAGACGCUCAGAUAUAUAUAAAAUAACAAGAGUUGAAUAGUCCAUCGGCGGGCUACAGGGUAGAUACCGGGUAGGUCCCGCCGAGGCAACAAAGGUAAAUUCACAUGGGUUGGGAGUUUUUUACGACUCAGUAAUGAUCCCUCCGCUGGUUCACCAACGGAGA
rnacentral:misc_RNA from 1 species